AGGACGAACGCUGGCGGCGUGCUUAACACAUGCAAGUCGAGCGGAAAGGCCCUUCGGGGUACUCGAGCGGCGAACGGGUGAGUAACACGUGAGUAAUCUGCCCCUAGCUCUGGGAUAGCUCCGGGAAACCGGGAUUAAUACCGGAUACGACCACUUUUAGACAUCUGUUGUGGUGGAAAGAAUUUUUGGCUAGGGAUGAGCUCGCGGCCUAUCAGCUUGUUGGUGGGUAACGGCCUACCAAGGCGACGACGGGUA
rnacentral:rRNA from 1 species